rnacentral:rRNA from 1 species
GGGCCCGCACAAGCGGCGGAGCAUGCGGAUUAAUUCGAUGCAACGCGAAGAACCUUACCAAGGCUUGACAUAUACCGAAAACUCAUGGAGACAUGGGGUCCGCAAGGGCGGUAUACAGGUGGUGCAUGGUUGUCGUCAGCUCGUGUCGUGAGAUGUUGGGUUAAGUCCCGCAACGAGCGCAACCCUCGUCCUAUGUUGCCAGCGGGUCAUGCCGGGGACUCAUAGGAGACUGCCGGGGUCAACUCGGAGGAAGGUGGGGAUGAUGUCAAAUCAUCAUGCCCCUUAUGUCUUGGGCUUCACGCAUGCUACAAUGGCCGGUACAAAGGGCUGCGAUACCGCAAGGUGGAGCGAAUCCCAAAAAGCCGGUCUCAGUUCGGAUUGGGGUCUGCAACUCGACCCCAUGAAGUCGGAGUCGCUAGUAAUCGCAGAUCAGCAACGCUGCGGUGAAUACGUUCCCGGGCCUUGUACACACCGCCCGUCAAGUCACGAAAGUCGGUAACACCCGAAGCCAGUGGCCCAACCCUUGUGGAGGGAGCUGUCGAAGGUGGGACCAGCGAUUGGGACUAAGUCGUAACAAGGUAGCCGUACCGGAAGGUGCGGCU